ensembl:lncRNA
AUGGUGAAAGAGAGAGUGUUUGGGGUGAUAGAGAAUGUUUAGGGUGAAAGAGAGAGUGUUUGGGGUGAUAGAGAGAGUGUUUAUGGUGAAAGAGAGAGUGUUUGGGGUUGUAGAGAGUGUUUGGGGUUGUAGAGAGUGUUUAUGGUGAAGAGAGAUGUUUGGGGUUGUAGAGAGUGUUUAGGGUGAAAGAGAGAUGUUGGGGUUGUAGAGAGUGUUUAGGGUGAAAGAGAGAGUGAAAGAGAAAUUCUAAAUGAAAAUGAAAAAAACAACAAAACAUUGUUUAUUAUUGCAGGUUUUUUUCAGCACUACUCCGUCACCAGCGAGUUUGUUAGCUGUACGUCACAUCAUGUAUCAUCAGAAUGUGUAUUAAACUGGAAAACUGUUUUGUACAUCUUGUUUACAUGAAAACGAAUGACACACACACACACACAC